rnacentral:rRNA from 1 species
AUUGAACGCUGGCGGCAGGCCUAACACAUGCAAGUCGAACGAGUGGCGGACGGGUGAGUACUGUCUGGGAAACUUCCUGAUGGCGGGGGCUAACUACUGGAAACGGUAACUAAUACCGCCUACCAUCGGAUGUGCCCAUAUGAGAUUAGCUAGUAGGUGGGGUAAAGGCUCACCUAGGCGCCGAUCCCUAGCUGUUCUGAAAGGAGGACCAGCCACACUUGAACUGAGACACGGUCCAGACUCCAACGGGAGGCAGCAGUGGGGAAUAUUGCACGUUGGGCGCAAGCCUGCUGCAGCCAUGCCGGGUGUAUGAAGAAGGCCUGCGGGUUGUAAAGUACUUUCAGCGGGGAGGCGUUACCCGCAGAAGAAGCACCGGCUAACUCCGUGCCAGCAGCCGCGGUAAUAC